rnacentral:rRNA from 1 species
UGACCUGCGGAGGAUCAUUAUUGAAAUAAACUGAUGAGUUGCUGCUGGUUCUCUAGGGAACAUGUGCACACUUGUCAUCUUUAUAUCUCCACUUGUGCACCUUUUGUAGACCUGGAUAUCUCUCUGAGUGCUUGCGCUUAGGUUUGAGGAUUGACUUUUGUCUCUCCUUAUAUUUCCAGGCCUAUGUUUCUUCAUAUACCCCAAUGUAUGUUAUAGAAUGUAAUAAAUGGGCCUUUGUGCCUAUAAACCUAUACAACUUUCAGCAACGGAUCUCUUGGCUCUCGCAUCGAUGAAGAACGCAGCGAAAUGCGAUAAGUAAUGUGAAUUGCAGAAUUCAGUGAAUCAUCGAAUCUUUGAACGCACCUUGCGCUCCUUGGUAUUCCGAGGAGCAUGCCUGUUUGAGUGUCAUUAAUAUAUCAACCUCUUCAGCUUUUGCCUGUUGAGUGUUGGAUGUGGGGGGCUUUUUUGCUGGCCUUUCUGAGGUCAGCUCCCCUGAAAUGCAUUAGCGGAACAAUAUGUGGACCGUUCAUUGGUGUGAUAACUAUCUACGCUAUUGACGUGAAGCAGUUCAGCUUCUAACAGUCCAUUGAUUUGGACAAUUUUUCAUUAAUGUGACCUCAAAUCAGGUA